UGAAUUGUUGAUGCUAAUGCAAAGUUUUCUUGUGUGUGUAGCAAUACUUCAAUAUCGGUACCCAGGCCAUCAAUGCCCUCAAGGGCACAGCGGAGGACCCUUAUCCUCACAAAUACCAUGUUGAUUUGUGCCUCACCGACUUCGUUGAGAAAUACAAUUAUCUGCAGCCAGGAGACCAACUCACAGAUGUCGUACUCAGUGUUACAGGCUGUGUCCAUGCCAAGAGAGAGUCUGGUGCCAAGCUGCUCUUCUACGACCUGCGGGGAGAGGGUCUCAAGUUGCAGGUUAUGGCAAACUCAAGGACCUACAAAUCGGAGGAGGCCUUUGUGGCCAUAAACAACAUUUUGCGCCGAGGGGACAUCAUUGGCGUCCGCGGUAACCCCGGGAAGACCAAAAAGGGGGGGCUGAGCAUCAUUCCCGUCGAGAUGACGCUUUUGUCUCCUUGUCUGCACAUGCUGCCCCACCUGCACUUUGGGCUCAAA